ACUUAUCUGCUACUGGUGAUGAAGCCUGGAGGGACAAGGAAGCUGCUGUUUUGGCUCUUGGUGUAAUCGCUAAAGGUUGCAUCAAUGGUCUUUAUCCUCAUUUGUCUGAGGCAAAUACAAAGAGGUUACAACCAGUUUCUGGAUUAUUAUCGGCUUUACUAGUAAAAUAGGUUACAGAGGUUUCACAAACAGGUUACAGAGGUUACAGAGGUUACAACCAUUAUUGUACCUUUAAGAUUAUUGGGUUUUGAGGGAUGAUAAGGGGGAAGUUAGAAGGAAGAUAUUAGCAGCAUCAGCCAGAGCUCACACCAGAAAAUCUCAUCAAAGCUCUUCUUUCAAGCUUUCUCCAGGUGAGGAAAGAAAAAUUAGGAGACAGAAUUACAAGACUUCACCAGCUUGUUUCACCAUUUGGGAAGG